rnacentral:rRNA from 1 species
GACGAACGCUGGCGGCGUGCUUAACACAUGCAAGUCGAACGAAGAGCGAUGGAAGCUUGCUUCUAUCAAUCUUAGUGGCGAACGGGUGAGUAACGCGUAAUCAACCUGCCCUUCAGAGGGGGACAACAGUUGGAAACGACUGCUAAUACCGCAUACGAUCUAAUCUCGGCAUCGAGGAUAGAUGAAAGGUGGCCUCUACAUUUAAGCUAUCACUGAAGGAGGGGAUUGCGUCUGAUUAGCUAGUUGGAGGGGUAACGGCCCACCAAGGCGAUGAUCAGUAGCCGGUCUGAGAGGAUGAACGGCCACAUUGGGACUGAGACACGGCCCAGACUCCUACGGGAGGCAGCAGUGGGGAAUCUUCCGCAAUGGACGAAAGUCUGACGGAGCAACGCCGCGUGAGUGAUGACGGCCUUCGGGUUGUAAAGCUCUGUUAAUCGGGACGAAAGGCCUUCUUGCGAAUAGUGAGAAGGAUUGACGGUACCGGAAUAGAAAGCCACGGCUAACUACGUG